rnacentral:ncRNA from 1 species
UGGGUGCUCCGUCAGGAGAUAAUAGGGAAUCAGGUGCAAAUCCUGAGCGGUCCCGCCACUGUAACCGGGGACUACCUCAUACAAGGCCACUGCGCAAGCGGGAAGGCAUGGGGUGGUAAGAACCGGUAGCCAGGAAACCUGCCCUUCU